GGGGGUCGUUGUGUGAUCCACCAGGCUGUAAUCGUUACUGCUGUCAUUGAUUUUGAUGUCCAGAUCGCCCCUGGUUGUGCCAGCAGGAGCCCCUACCUAAGGCCUGUUUCUGUGUCUCCCUCAGGACAUCAGCCAUGCCUUUCCCUUCCUACGGCCUCCAGCACACCCGCCUCUUGAAGUGACACAUCUCUUAUCAGACCCUGCCUCCCACGAGAUCUGGAGGUCAGAAACUCUGCUCCAGGUUUUUGUUGAAAUGUGGCUUCAUCGUUAUUCCUUGGAGUUGUACCAAAAUGCCCCUCAUGCCAAGAUCAUCAAUGGGCUCUGCAGGUUUGACAUCGAGGACUAGGGGACGCGGAACUGCAGCCCAUCUGAAGCUGUGAGAUCGCCAGCCUGGUCUGCCUGAUCUUCUGGCCUCUUCCACCAUCAACCGCAGGGUGAGUGUUGGGCGGGAGGGCUGACCCUUAUCUCUGCGCCCCUUCCUGUCAAGGCAGUCUUGGGGAGAGGCCAGGGGUAGA